GACGAACCGUGCAAACGUUGUUCGGAUUCACUGGGCUUAAAGGGCGCGUAGGCGGGCUGGCAAGUCAGGGGUGAAAUCCUCCGGCUCAACCGGAGAACAGCCUUUGAUACUGCCAGUCUAGAGGAAGGUAGGGGCAUGUGGAACUUCCGGUGGAGCGGUGAAAUGCGCAGAUAUCAGGAGGAACACCCGUGGCGAAAGCGGCUCUCUGGGACGGUACUGACGCUGAGACGCGAAAGCGUGGGGAGCAAACAGG
rnacentral:rRNA from 1 species